GACGAACGCUGGCGGCGUGCUUAACACAUGCAAGUCGAACGGAAAGGCCCUGCUUGCAGGGUACUCGAGUGGCGAACGGGUGAGUAACACGUGGGUGAUCUGCCCUGCACUUCGGGAUAAGCCUGGGAAACUGGGUCUAAUACCGGAUAGGAGCCAUUUUUAGUGUGAUGGUUGGAAAGUUUUUUCGGUGUAGGAUGAGCUCGCGGCCUAUCAGCUUGUUGGUGGGGUAAUGGCCUACCAAGGCGGCGACGGGUAGCCGGCCUGAGAGGGUGGAUGGCCACAUUGGGACUGAGAUACGGCCCAGACUCCUACGGGAGGCAGCAGUGGGGAAUAUUGCACAAUGGGCGCAAGCCUGAUGCAGCGACGCCGCGUGGGGGAUGACGGCCUUCGGGUUGUAAACUCCUUUCGCUAGGGACGAAGCUUUUUGUGACGGUACCUAGAUAAGAAGCACCGGCUAACUACGUG
rnacentral:rRNA from 1 species